UUACUUGCAUAGAGCACAUAAUAUUCAGAAUGAUUAAGCCUAUUAAAUCAAUCAAAGAUCAAGAAAAAACUUUUCACAAAAGACCUCGCAAAAACUUCUAAACUUUGCAAGAAAGAUUUUACAAUAUCUUUUCAAAAAAUAUUUAGCAAAAAGUGUUUUUCAUAAAGUUAUGUGCAAAGUUUUCCAAAAAAGGAUAUUACAAAAGUUUAAGAAAUGUUUUCUUUAGCAAAGAAUUGUACCAAACCUCUUUCACUAAAGAGUUUGAAAAAACUUACUCCAAAAUUAGAGAACUUUUCACACCAUAAAUUUUAAAAAAAUAAGAAAAAGGAAAUGGCACAUUAAAAGUAGAGUAGUGAGCCCUCGCUGACAUAGAAAAACGAAAUCAAAAGUAUCUUCUCA
rnacentral:lncRNA from 1 species